UACAGAGGGUGCGUGCGUUAAUCGGAAUUACUGGGCGUAAAGCGCGCGUAGGCGGCUUUUCAAGUCGAUUGUGAAAUCCCCGGGCUUAACCUGGGAACUGCAGUCGAGACUGUCUAGCUAGAGUAUGGGAGAGGGAAGUGGAAUUUCAGGUGUAGCGGUGAAAUGCGUAGAUAUCUGAAGGAACAUCAGUGGCGAAAGCGACUUCCUGGACCAAUACUGACGCUCAUGUGCGAAAGCGUGGGGAGCAAACAGG
rnacentral:rRNA from 1 species